rnacentral:rRNA from 1 species
GUGGGGAAUAUUCCGCAAUGGACGAAAGUCUGACGGAGCAACGCCGCGUGAGUGAUGAAGGUUUUCGGACUGUAAAGCUCUGUUGUUUAGGACGAAAGUGCCUGUUGCAAAUAGUUACAGGUAUUGACGGUACUGAACGAGGAAGCCACGGCUAACUACGUGCCAGCAGCCGCGGUAAUACGUAGGUGGCAAGCGUUGUCCGGAAUUAUUGGGCGUAAAGAGCAUGUAGGCGGGAAUCUAAGUCUGUUGUGAAAAUGCGGGGCUCAACCCCGUAUUGCGAUGGAAACUAGGUUUCUUGAGUGCAGGAGAGGAAAGGGGAAUUCCCAGUGUAGCGGUGAAAUGCGUAGAUAUUGGGAGGAACACCAGUGGCGAAGGCGCCUUUCUGGACUGUGUCUGACGCUGAGAUGCGAAAGCCAGGGUAGCGAACGGGAUUAGAAACCCCAGUAGUCC